AUGUCCUGUCUCUUAAUGUUAUUCACUUCACAGUCAUCCAGUGCAGUGGUACAGCCAGUUCAGUCUCAGCAGAAGACAGGAGACGACUCUCAGCCUGACAAUCCACCAGGCCCUGCAGAAAAAGAGCACAACCACGUGCAAGCUAUUUCACCCUCUAAAAGCCCUAACAAGCCAGAUGAAAACAUUAUCUCUGUCAAGGCCUCUGACAAGGAUGUGGAGAGCGACUCGGGCUGUCCUGACGGUGGGCCUUCUUCAAUCCCCAACCAGGGUGAGACCACUGGACACAGUGUUGAUGCAGCUCCGGCAUCACCUCGUGAGCUCUCACCCCGAGCCAGUCGCAUCCCCAUCCGUGACCCGGACUCUCCAACCCGUAGGGGUUUUCCAGCUCCGCUUUCUCCGUCUCUGUCACUGUCAUGUGAGCACUUCCCCUCAGCGCUGCUACGUGACAAGUUCAUCUUCCCCACUGGUUCUCAAAGGUCAGACUGGCAGGUGGAGGAGCCACUCUCUCUGUCUUCCUCCUCAGGACCUGUGUCGAGCAAGAGUAAAAUACCAAGACCCAUGAGCCCCACACGAGUGCCGGAUCAGCUGUCUGCACGAUUUAUUCCACGGCCGCCACCAGGCAAACCGCCCCUUCGCACAGGUGGCGAGAACAGACGUAGACGCUACCGCAUUCGUGCUAGCAGCACUGGUGACACGGACCUCUUGGACAACCUCUCUCAGCUCAUGCAGGAGCGAGGAGGACUGGCCGCCAGCACCUCACGUUACCAGCGCACCACCGCCUCUUCUCUGCAGCGCUCGUUAAGCUCCUCGCCUUCCCGUUUUGAAGGGGUUCACAGCCAUUCACCAAGUAGCUGCUCAGCCUCCCCACCUCCUCGAAUCAGUGACUUAACAGUAAAUCACGGGUCAGGGUUCUUCCCCAGAGUCAGAGCAGGAAGUCCUGAGAGCAAAACCACAACCAAAAUGAGCAAAUAAAGAGAAAAGCUUGUAACAGAUGGCGUGAGUUGUCAGUAAUUUGACAACCGGUUUCAACAGUAGCGUUUGAUGAACUGUAGCGUUUUUACAAGUAGUGUUUUGAUAAGUAGAGCGAUAAAGGACCAGGUAUUUGCCGGUUGGUUGUGAUUACUUGAAAGCAUCAUGUUUUUUGGACAUUCUUGAAAAACUUGAAAUAUUAACAUGCUAAAUGUUCCAGUGACGCUGUGUAACUUUCUUCUAAACAAAUUGCCCAUUGCAUUUCAUUGCAAUCAGUUUUAUUUUUUAAUAUUAUAUAUAGUUUGUGCCAUAUAUUCUUUAUCUUUUUGCUAUGUAAAAGAUCGGUUUACUUUUUCAUGUUUUUUUUGCACUUUCUGAUUUACAUGCCUUACAUAUGUCAGAUUUUCAACAUUAUUAGUUACUAUCAGUGAGAACGUUUGAAAUCUGAAAACAAUGGGGCUGCACUUAGUAACUUAUUGUAUUCUGUCAAACAGAUGCAUGGUACUCUAGCCUUAUUUUUCUAUCAUUUUUCUGUUUUUCAGUCAUGAGUGAAAAAGUCUUUAUGGUUAAAUGCUCAUUUCAACAGAUAGCUGUCUAUACAGUGUAAUAUCAUUCAUGUAUAGUUACAUCUGGCACAAGCAAGCAUGUGUAUAUAUGUAUUUCAGGGAAUGUAUGUACUUUAAACUGUAUUAUCUAUAGAAUGUAUUUAUUUAUUUAUUGGAUGUGGUUAUGUACCUGAUGAUGUAGCUUUAUUACUUGCUACUGAGUGAAUUCGCCAUCACACUAAGGGUCAGCAACCUUGCAAUUGCCAAGUAUAAUCUCUUCCAUGCCUGCAAUAUCAUACUAACAAUCCCUGUAAAUAGUCCUAACGUCAGAAAGAAACUUACUGAUAUAUUGCAGUGAAACACUAUGGACCCUUUAAAUGAACUUGAUUCAAACACUAUAGUCCCAUUACCAUAUUACUUGAAUACAUCAGCAAGAUGCUGGCUGCUUAUGCCACGAUGCUUCUGCGGAUUUUGGGAUUGAAUUCUCCAUCAUGGCAUUUAUUGAAAGCUGCCUGAGGAGUGUGAGUCCCAUGUGAUGUACAAAGAAAGGGAUUGUAGCUACCGAGUCAUUACCACGACUUCAUUGUGUGCUGUGCAGCUAGAAUAGAUGUUUUGUUCUGGAUCGUCUAUUUUGUCCUCUGGAAGUACUUUUACUUUAAAAGCAUCAGUAUAGGCCCACAACUGUUGGUACGAUGGAUGGUUUAGCUUAAGAAUUGUACAUAACCUGAACUGUAUAUAGAUAUAAAUAUAUUAAGAAAAAGAAAUUCCACCUCAUGCUUCAUGUACUGUAUUUUGCUAACAAACAUUUCAAUCAUGCAAAAAAAAAAAGUUACCAUGUUGGAAUGUAUAUGUAUUCAUAUCAAUGGAAUAAAUAAGUACUCUUAAGUACUUGAUGCUUGAUA
ensembl:lncRNA